UUUAGACUCAUUUUCGAUCGCCGCCUUGGCUUAUCUCUCUACAAACGCCAUCGUGCUCUCUCUCUCUCUGGAAGCAACGUCGCCGCUUCUCCCAAUCUUUAUCUGCUGCAAUCUGAUACAUUCGUCGGUAAGACCUUUCUAAAGAAUUACACAAGAAUUGCUAGAGAUAAAAGGGAAAAGUGAUAAUACUCUAUUUUAUUGGUAACUUACCUCCGUCCUUUUUUGUUCGUGUUCCGCGGUUACGUUUCUCAAUUGUUAAAAAACAAAAAGUGAGGUGCUGUAAUUGGUUACACACUGUUUUGGGGUUUAGAUUUGGUAUUAAUUACCAGAUCUGGGUUUGGAUUCAACAGUAAAAAUAUCUGUUCUUGCUGCGUGGUCUAGGGUUUUUUUCUAUUCAAAAAUUGGGGGUCUGAUUUUUCUGAGUUGGGUUUUGGGUUUUUGAUAGAAAACCCCAUUCUAGGCGAUUAGUCUGAUUGCAUAAGGGUUGUAUUUGUUAUAUUUAAAGGAACACGAGCACCCUUAUAUAUAUGGCAGCUGGAAGACAUGGGGGUUACAGAGACAAUGAAUUCAGGGACCGAGAGACGGAUUUAGGGAUGUCAAGGAAGGAGGUUGGGCAUCUGAAAGGUGAUUUUGAGCUGAUCAGGGAAGAUGAUCCAGAUUACGGGGUUGGUCUGCAUCGAGUUCUAGAAAGUAGGGAUUUCAGGGGUAGGGUCAGGCAGAAGGAUAUUAAGGAACGGGAGGCAAUGAAUGGUGGAUAUCACUCUACUUCAAGUCGGAGUCAAUCGGGUAGUAGUGAUGGUGGUCCGAGGAGAUGCGGGUUAGCGGUUCAGGCCAUGGACCGAGAGCCUGGGGAGCUGUCUAGUGAUGGGUCUGAUGGGGCAAUUGAUUCAGAAAUGCGGUCUAAUAAAGAGUUUGAGGCUAAGAAGUUAGAAAAUGGAAAUCACUCCUUCCCCUUGGAGAAUAAGAAACGUAAGUUUUCACCAAUUGUUUGGGAUAUAGAUGAUAGGGAAGUAAGCCGAACAGUCAAGAAUCAGAAUAUCACUGAAACCACUAAUUUACCACCUCCGCCUCCUUUACCCAAGUUUUACAACCAGUCACCUAAAAAUAUCUGUGAUGGGGAUGUGGAGAUUUUACCUAGAGAUGACAGUAAGAUUCGGAGUUUGGAAUCAUCAUCUCCUAAUAUUGACUCGCUGACUGAAUUGUUGAAAUUCCCUGCUGAAAAUUCUUCUCCGCCCCCCGAGGAACAGCCCCAGAAUAAUGACCGAGGAGCAGGGGCAUUAGAUGAUGAUGAUUAUGUGCCUACUCGAACCAUAAUAUCCUCUCGAUGGGCAAAUGAUGCGGACUCCUCGGCAGAUGAAGGUGAGAUUUCUGAGAAUGAAGAUAUUAAGAGAGUGAAGACAAGGAAGUACGAGUCUGAAGCUGCUGAAGUAAGAGGACAUAGGAAAUCAAUAAGUCCGGAGCUUGGGGAAGUUAAAAGAGAAGGUUCUGAACGAACUAGGGGAAGGUCCUUUGGAUCUGAGGAGCGUGUUAGGUCUUCCAGUAGAGAUAGUUACCCUGAAAGUGAUGGUAAAAAUGACUACAUGGAGAUAGAUGAGGAUCACAAUUUUGAUGGUACUAGUGUUAGCCAUUCUGAUACGGAAUCUGAGGAUGAGCAUGGUUAUCGGGGGGCACCAGAGCCUGUACUGCCUCCACAUAGGACUGUGAAUAUGCUUCAAGGAUGCAGAAGUGUUGAUGAGUUUGAGAGACUAAACAAGAUAGAUGAAGGCACUUAUGGGGUCGUCUAUAGAGCCAUGGAUAAGAAGACUGGAGAAAUUGUUGCACUGAAGAAGGUCAAGAUGGAGAAAGAAAGGGAAGGGUUUCCUUUGACUUCUCUCCGGGAAAUAAACAUUCUUCUGUCAUUUCACCAUAGCUCAAUUGUGGAUGUUAAAGAAGUAGUUGUGGGGAGCAAUCUUGACAGCAUUUUUAUGGUUAUGGAGUACAUGGAGCAUGAUCUUAAGGCUUUGAUGGAAACAAUGAAACAACCGUUCAGUCAAAGUGAAGUUAAAUGCCUUAUGCUCCAGCUAUUAGAGGGUGUAAAGUAUCUUCAUGAUAACUGGGUGCUUCACCGGGACUUGAAAACUUCAAAUUUGCUUUUAAAUAACCGCGGUGAGUUGAAGAUAUGUGAUUUUGGACUGGCUCGUCAGUAUGGGAGCCCACUAAAGCCAUAUACUCAUUUGGUUGUUACUUUAUGGUACCGGGCGCCGGAACUUCUUAUGGGAGCCAAACAGUACUCUACAGCUAUUGAUAUGUGGUCCCUGGGAUGUAUUAUGGCUGAACUGUUAUCAAAAGAGCCAUUGUUCAAUGGGAAAACAGAGUUUGACCAGCUCGACAAGAUUUUCAGAAUCCUUGGCACACCGAAUGAGACAAUUUGGCCUGGCUUUUCCAAACUUCCUGGUGUCAAGGUCAACUUCGUCAAGCAUCAGCUUCCAGCUUUGGGUGAUUCUGGUACAAUCUAUUGCGUAGGAAAUUUCCAGCUACAUCUUUUACUGGGUCACCAGUACUUUCUGAUGCUGGAUUUGACCUGUUGAACAAGCUUCUAACUUAUGACCCUGAUAAGCGGAUAACUGCUGAAGCAGCUCUGAACCAUGAAUGGUUCCGUGAAGUUCCACUUCCCAAGUCAAAGGAGUUCAUGCCUACUUUUCCAGCUCAACAUGCACAAGACAGGCGUACGCGUAGACUAAUGAAGAGUCCUGAUCCGUUAGAAGAGCAGCGGAGGAAGGAGUUGCAACAAGGAGAACUUGGCACUGGUGGUUUGUUUGGCCAAUAACUUCCGAGUAUUUGUUCUUUGGUUAUCUUGUAAUAUCUGAGACAUACAUGGUUAAGGUGAGAACUAUGGAUUGGAAGGAAGUUGCAAACAUUGGUUGUGAGACGAUUGCUCGUGCUGUUAUUUAGGAAGCACACCUGAUGAAUUAGGUGGACACGAUUCUCUUGUCUUUGCACAUGUGAAUUGCAUAUGGUGCAGGUUGAUUUGUCUUCUUGGCCUUUGCUGUCCGAGGGCAAUCCAUCUUUGGUACUGCUUUCAAGCAAGGUGUGGCAUAAGGCACUUCCAGUUAUGGGACUGUUUCAGUUUGAACUCGUGUAUGUAACAUAUUUUAUAUUGGUCACUGUAAACAAUUUUCUUAAAAUUGUUUAAAUACCAGAACAGUACGGUUUACUUUGGAACUCUUAGUGCUAUUGUUUUUUAAUUCUCAUAUUGUGUUUGCAAGAGAUGGUGAUGUAAAGCGGGGAGGGGGCAAUCUUAGCCUUUCAUGUCGAAGAAUUUGACAGAAAGAAUUGCACUCUGAAGGUAAUUAACAAAUCUGAAUGCAUGGAUGUAAUGAAGAAUUCGGAAUUUGCUGUGUCUACAUUGAAAGGCUAUUCCCUUAGAUCUUGACUGGGUCUUUAGUUCCAUGGGUUACAAAUGCAUUUUACUGAUUUUAUUAUUAUUAUCAUUUUUACCACGUGGUCAUGCGAUAUCUUUGUAGUCUGGAGCAGCAAUUUGUUUUAUUCUUAUGCAAAAUGCUGUUCAGCUCCAUGUGGUUUUUCUUUGUUGCUCUUUCAUGUAUUUGUUGUCAAGUGUAGCAUUUGGAAAUGGAGCCUUAAUCAAUGUGUUAAUUUGAUUUCUGAAUACAACCUCUGAUGGAUUUUUUUCCUUUUUUUC